GGGGGGCCGAGUAGGGAGGGAGCCCGGCGAGGGAGGAGCUGGAGGAGGGAGUGAGGGGGAGCGGCGGGCGCGGGAAGGGGAGCGCGGAGAAGGAGCCGCAGGACGCUGGGAGGGGCGGAGGCAGGUGCGGGAUCGCGAGGGCGCGAGCGGGAAGGGCCCGGCGGCGGGGCGGGCUGCCCCGGAGCUCGGCGGGGGUCGCGGCGGAGACAAGGCGGCCGCGGCGGGGAGAUGCCGCGCGAGGAAGUGGAUCGGGCGGGUACGCCGGGUGUGCGCACCUGCGCGCCGGGCAGCGGGGACCAGUGUGCUAGCCCAGGGAUGUUCUUCUCAUGGCAAUGACGGAGUGCAAGCAGACACAUGCACAGCCUCUAGAGGACUACAUUUGGCACCAGCUUACUGUCACUUUUGCCUCAUUCUGUUGACCACAAUCUUCUGAACAUGUCCCCAUUCCGUGAGCCCACAGUGAUCUGUUUGUUUUGCCUGGUCCCAGCUCAUGCAUUCUUCAAGUCUUGGUAACCAGGAUGUUUUGUCUGUUCAGGCUCUAAACGAUCAGUGGGACAGGAACCGAAGUUAAGUAGCUCAGGAUGCAUCAAGAUGAACUUGGGAAAACCGCGAGCCGCUGUGCUGACUGGACUGCUUCUCUGAAUCAGCUGGAACUUCUUUUUGUGUCUAGUUUUAAAAGCUCCUCGGAAGCAAUCCUAAAUCCAGAAUCGUUUCAAUUAUUAUGAGGGGAAUUCUGAAGUUCUCAUUAAACACACGAAUGACUCAAGCUUUGAAAAGAGCCAGAUGCCACAGGCAAGAAUCCCAGGGCAUUGCCCACCUGGGUGUGAUCCCCUGAUAACUGUCUAACAAACUCAGCAUGUGUCCCCCGGGCAUGACCAUCUGCUGGGCAAAGCUCCAGGACCCUGAGACAUCCUGGAAUUCCUGUGGUUUAGGAAAGACCUUUAACUACCAGUGGUAGUUGUCUCAUCGUUCUUCAAAUAAUCUGGUCUUGUUUAUUAUUAUCAUUACUAUUUAAUUUUAUUUUAUUACAGCUGUACUUGGAGAAUAGUCCGGUCUUGAGGCCUUUUCACUGUGGUCUGUUCUAGUGUAUGGCUCCCACCAGUGUGAAGCAGAAGGAUGACUUUGCUCUGUUGUCAGGACAACCUUGAAGGAAGGAGCCAAAUGUGUGGAGGUCUGUG
rnacentral:lncRNA from 1 species